UCGCCUGUUUAUCAAAAACAUGGUUUUUUGUUUAUAUAAAAAAUUUGGCCUGCCCAAUGAUUAUUUUAAUGGCUGCAGUAUUUUGACUGUACAAAGGUAGCAUAAUCAUUUGUCUUUUAAUUGAAGUCUGGUAUGAAUGGUUAGAUGAAAAAUUUACUUUCUUUAUUUUAUGAAUAAAAAUUGAUUUCUAAAUUAAAAAGUUUAGAUGGAUUUAGAGGACGAGAAGACCCUAUAGAACUUAACUCCCCUUAAUUUAAUUAUUUACUUGUAAAUAAUUUUUUUUUAUUUUUAAGGGGAGUUUUAUUGGGGUGAUAAAAAAAAUUUUUUAACUUUUUUUAUUUUUUUCACUUAUUUGUGAUUUUUUGAUCCUUUAUUAUGGAUAAUAAGAUUAAGUUACCUUAGGGAUAACAGCGUUAUUAUUUUAGAGAGUUCAUAUUAAUAAAAUAGUUUGCGACCUCGAUGUGGAUUAAAAUUAGUGUCAGGGGUAUAAUAUUGCAUUACUAG
rnacentral:rRNA from 1 species